CAGUAGCCGCGGUAAUACGUAGGGUGCGAGCGUUAAUCGGAAUUACUGGGCGUAAAGCGUGCGCAGGCGGUUUUGUAAGACAGGCGUGAAAUCCCCGGGCUUAACCUGGGAAUGGCGCUUGUGACUGCAAGGCUAGAGUGCGUCAGAGGGGGGUAGAAUUCCACGUGUAGCAGUGAAAUGCGUAGAGAUGUGGAGGAAUACCGAUGGCGAAGGCAGCCCCCUGGGACGAGACUGACGCUCAUGCACGAAAGCGUGGGGAGCAAACAGGAUUAGAUACCCCCGUAGUCCCUGUCUCUUAUAC
rnacentral:rRNA from 1 species